rnacentral:rRNA from 1 species
UACGUAGGGUGCAAGCGUUGUCCGGAAUUAUUGGGCGUAAAGAGCUCGUAGGCGGUUGUCGCGUCUGCUGUGAAAACUGGGGCUCAACCCCAGCCUGCAGUGGGUACGGGCAGACUAGAGUGCGGUAGGGGAGAUUGGAAUUCCUGGUGUAGCGGUGGAAUGCGCAGAUAUCAGGAGGAACACCGAUGGCGAAGGCAGAUCUCUGGGCCGUAACUGACGCUGAGGAGCGAAAGCAUGGGGAGCGAACAGG